rnacentral:rRNA from 1 species
AUUGAACGCUGGCGGCAGGCUUAACACAUGCAAGUCGAGCGGAGCGAGGGUGCUUGCACCUUAGCUUAGCGGCGGACGGGUGAGUAAUGCUUAGGAAUCUGCCUAUUAGUGGGGGACAACAUUCCGAAAGGGAUGCUAAUACCGCAUACGCCCUACGGGGGAAAGCAGGGGAUCUUCGGACCUUGCGCUAAUAGAUGAGCCUAAGUCGGAUUAGCUAGUUGGUGGGGUAAAGGCCUACCAAGGCGACGAUCUGUAGCGGGUCUGAGAGGAUGAUCCGCCACACUGGGACUGAGACACGGCCCAGACUCCUACGGGAGGCAGCAGUGGGGAAUAUUGGACAAUGGGCGGAAGCCUGAUCCAGCCAUGCCGCGUGUGUGAAGAAGGCCUUUUGGUUGUAAAGCACUUUAAGCGAGGAGGAGGCUACUAGUAUUAAUACUACUGGAUAGUGGACGUUACUCGCAGAAUAAGCACCGGCUAACUCUGUGCCAGCAGCCGCCGCGGUAAAAC